AUGAGUAGGUAGCAAGAGAGUACAUGUACAUUGAGAGGAAGGACAAGCAGUAUAAAUCAGACAGAGAUUGUGCAUUACUACAAUAAUUAUAAAGAAAGAGGAGGAGGAGGUGAACUAUCAGAAGCAGUACUAGAAGAACUCAUUAGUCAUUAUGAUGCUGAGAGAAAAAAAAGAACUCAACUAUUUGUACAAUCAUUGAUCAAGAAAAGAAAUAACUAUCUGGAAACAGUUUAUAAUGUGAGAGUCAACAUGGUCAAGUUAUGAGAGAUGAGAUG